rnacentral:rRNA from 1 species
UACAGAGGUCCCGAGCGUUUGUUCGGAUUCACUGGGCGUAAAGGGUGCGUAGGUGGCUUUGCAAGUCUGAUGUGAAAUCUCCAGGCCCAACCUGGAAACUGCAUUAGAAACUGUGAGGCUAGAGGCUUGGAGGGGGAACUGGAAUGCUCGGUGUAGCAGUGAAAUGCGUAGAUAUCAGGAGGAACGCCGGAGGCGAAAGCGAGUGACUGGCGCGUUCCUGACGCUGAGGUGCGAAAGCUAGGGGAGCAAAC